CGCUGCUUUCCUCGCCCAGCACCGGCUCCCCUUUCCCGGCCGGGUCUUUCCUCCCGGGCCGCUCACUGCUCCUCUGCCCCGCUCCCCCCGACCAGGGGCCGUGUUUCCUGGGGAUGAGGCGGGUCUGGCCUGACGGCAGCAGAGCUGGGCAGCGUCGCCACUGCAGAGGAUGAUCAGAAUAUUCUACAGGAAGACUCGGAUGACCUAGAGGACUGGAGCGAUAGACAUGGGAUGAAAUUUAAUGGUACAAAGUGUGAGGUCGGGCCGUGCACACAGGGGCGGAAUCUUAGCUGCUCACUUGUUGGCCUCCAGUUCUGUCAAGAUGUUGCUGAGAUCCAGUGUGGGGAGGUGCCGUAGCAAAAACUCAAAGGUUUCUUGGCAGCCCCAGAACUUUUCCAGCAGGACAUGCAGCAGGCACACCAGCCCUCUGUUACCCUGGAUGAAGACACAACUAUCUUUAGGCCGCGCUCCCGACACGUGCUGAACAAGGCUGGCGAAGACAGAGGCUUCACGCCGUACUUCCUGAUCCUCAUCUUGUAGCAGGGUGUGUGAUGGAACCUUUUCCCCCACCCCUGCAACCAACCAGAACAUGAGGUCAGCGUACGUCCUUCUGCAUUGUCCCUAGCACUCCAUGAAGCAGCCAGCAGGGCUCCAUGCAGAGUCCUUAUUUCUUGCCCCUUCGAUAACAAAAGGCAGGAUUGCGAGUCAGCUGGUGAGUCUGUGAUGGAGCCGCUGCUCUGCCGCUCAACUGGGAAGCAACGUUCCUAGGUUAAUUUCAGCGUUUGCCUCGGCAUUCCUUGCCAGGCUGCUCACAUUACACCCCUGGCUUUGGAGUUUGGAUCUGAGGUCAUGCCUUGCUGCCGUGAAAACAGAAAGGGAGUAAGGGAACGGCACUUAAACCCACUCACCAGUUCGUGUCUGCAGCGUAAGCCAGCAGAGCCCGUAUCUGCAGCAGACGCCCAUGCAGCAUGUUGUGGGAUAGGACACCGCCUUGCUUAGCUAAGUCCCCAGCCAGUCGCAGCAGGAUCUUCCCGUAUUCAGCUGUAGGGACAACAGGGACUAGGGCCUUGGCUGCCAUGACUCGCACAGCGUAGAUGGGGUUUCCUGCAAGCUGAAGCAAGGGCUCCAGGAAGCAAGUGGAGACGCUGCAGAGCGAGCAGUGCAGAGCGGGAAACAAAGCAAAGAUUAUCCUGCUGCUGGUCUACGUCCCUGCUAAACAAAGCUGAACGGAAAGGGCUAGAAAAGGACCACGACCGCUCGAGAGCAUGUCUCGGCUCUGCACGUCAGCUCCACGGGGCCUCUGAGCCCUCAGGACCAGCAGUGCCACUGCAGCGUCCUGCCAUCGCGCAGCCCAUCCUCUGCCAGGACGCGAGUGACUCAGAUGAGGGCAGGGACCCUCCCCCUCUGCAGAAGGUGGCUGAUGCUGUUGGCUCUGGGAGGCUGUCAGCCUCACGCAGGCCAUAGGUAGCAGUGCCCCUGUGUGGACCCCCAGCCUGCACCCUGCCACCUGCCCAUGGGGUGGCCUCCUCCCCAUUUUCUCUACCUGCUCAGUCCAUCUGCCCCGGGUUGGAGUUUUGCCAAGAGCGUGAGGAUGGCGUGGAGCGAGGGGCAGAGGUGAAACCUCCCUCCCUCCGGCUCUCCUGCCGUCUCCAGAGCUGAGUGCAGCUCUCCCAGCAGGAUCUCCCUCAGCUGCGGGUAGCGGCUGAAGAACGCCUGAGGGCUCACCCCGUCCUGAGCGCAGCUAUCGUCCCGGCUCCGCUUCGGACCCAGCACCCGAGCUGUGAGGGCGCCUGAAAGAAAACAAGCGGGGGAAGGGCAUCAGGAACCACGGCCAUUGGCACAUGGCAGGGAUGAACCAGCUACCCCCAUGUACUCUGCCCUGCGCUUCAGCAUGAACAGCAAGUCCACCAGAGUCGUGUUCAGGCAGAGGAAACAUAUUAGUGGUUUGAGCACGGAGACUUCCUGACAUCUCUCCUUGGACCCUGCCUCAAAUCCUAGCAGAGCUGGCUCAGUCAUUCGACCUUCCCAGGCAGGGAGAUGGAGUCCCAUGCAAUUUACUCAACGGGGGGCGCUCUCAAAAGAGACUCCGAAAAGUAGGUCCCCCCUGCUCUGCAGGGCAUUAAAGAUGCUGUGGCCUGUUUGCUGGGGUUUCCCUCGGGCCCUUGUCCAGCAUCUCCCACUCCACUCGCUCUCAUGCUGAGCCACCCUCCACCCCAGAGAUCACUGAUGCUGUGUGUAAUGGGAGAGAUGGAGACAAGUCAAAAUUUAGAUCCUGACUGGGACUGGCCCAAAGGUCAGACCUGAGGUUUUGCUUGGGGCCAUCCCUUGAGUGCAGUUUGGAAAAUGCUUUGUGGGGGUGGGAUUCUGUAUAAAACAUUCUUCUUAGACCCUUUAGGGAACAGCUACCCUAAAUAGCAAAGGAAGCGGCUAGCAGACCUGGUAAGCUGAGCAUUCCUGAAGUAGCCCAGCGCUGGCCUAAUCUGGGAUGCUAACAGAUAUAGGAAUUAGCCUAUUAAGACUCACCAUAGACUGGAGGACACGUUUUGCAAACCGUACAACACGGUCUCCUCCCUCCUCCCCACCGCUGUUCACAACAGCGCUUCUGACGUGCUCGUCUUGCUUCCUGUUCCAUUCCGAGGGCACUCAGGGCCGGACACUGAGCAGAGCAAUGCCCUUGCUCCUAUGGAGGUUGACUGAUGGAAGGACACCCGUGUGUGCACCCCACGGCACUGCUAGGAAUAAGCAGCUGUUACUCACUGAAGAGCUGGAUGGCUGCGUUUCUCAUGGCCCAGCUAGACGAGCCUAGUGCCUUCAGAAGCAGAGCCAUCAUAGGCGUGACAUACUGCAGCAGCGUCGUUCCUAGGCCGGAGCCACGCACCAGUGUCUGCAGCACGUGCAAGGCGGAGACCUGCAGAGAACACACAACAAAGAGCACCGUGGUGGCCAGGGACAUCUUGGUGCCCACUGGCAGAAGGCAGUGCCCUGGGUCUGGUCUCCACAGAAUCAGUCAUCAAAGGGUGUCUGACUGACCGCAGUGCUAAUCAAGAGAUUGUGAAAUCUCCAUGGGAGAUUCUCUGCAGGAAAAAACAAGCAGCAGGAAGUUCCCUGUUUACAAGUGAUGACGAUGGAUGGCUGGAACUAUAUCUGGGGAUACAAUGGUAUGCCCAGGUAUCCUUCACUGAGGGGUCAAACUGCCAGCUGGCUUGUCGUAUGAACGAAGGAUCACAGCUGGUCUGGCACUGAUAAGAGAGACUUUGGGUGAGUGAUCUUUAUGAGACAGGGGAAUGUCUUGUUAAGUUUAGGCUCUAGAAAGCAUGUUAUGAUUUUAUUUUAUAUGUAACCAUUUGUUCCCAUUAAUUCUGUCUGCUUCUUCUCAAAUCUCUGGUCUUUGUUAAAUAAACUUUUACUUGGUUUCACUAA